UACAGAGGGUGCAAGCGUUGUUCGGAAUUAUUGGGCGUAAAGGGCGCGUAGGCGGUGCGGUAAGUCUGCAGUGAAAUCUCUGGGCUCAACUCAGAGUCUGCUGUAGAAACUGCCGUGCUUGAGGUGUGGGGAGAGGUGAGUCGGGAAUUCCCGGUGUAGCGGUAGAAAUGCGUAGAUAGUCGGGAGGAACACCUGUGGCGAAAAGCGGCUCACUGGACCACAACUGACGCUGAGGCGCGAAAAGCUAGGGGGAGCAAACAGGG
rnacentral:rRNA from 1 species